UACGUAGGUGGCAAGCGUUGUCCGGAAUUAUUGGGCGUAAAGCGCGCGCAGGCGGUCCUUUAAGUCUGAUGUGAAAGCCCACGGCUCAACCGUGGAGGGUCAUUGGAAACUGGGGGACUUGAGUGCAGAAGAGGAAAGUGGAAUUCCACGUGUAGCGGUGAAAUGCGUAGAGAUGUGGAGGAACACCAGUGGCGAAGGCGGUUACCUGGAAGAUUCCUGACUCUGAAACACGAAAGCCAGGGGAGCAAACGGG
rnacentral:rRNA from 1 species